GUCAGGGCUCGCAUGUGGAAAGAUGGGGGCCACCUGGCGAGGUGAUGUUGCCGGAGCCUGGGGUGUCAUUUGCCCUGGAGCUGAGAUCAUCUGACAGUCCGAAGCUCUGGAAGAUGGCCCUUUCCUCCAGAGACACUCGGCACUGGCAGCUGGUGGUGGCGAGACUGGAACAUGGCCCUUUCCUCCAGAGACGCUCGGCACUGGCAGCUGGUGGUGGCGAGACUGGCAUCUGAUGCCUCGAUUGCAGAGCUCGCCAGCCCUCCAGUUGUGAGGCGCUGUCAGUGCAUUUCUGGGAAUUUCCCCUCUUUCUUUCAAUUAAAGUGAAUAACCAGGAAGCUGCAGAAAGAAGUGUUUUGCGCCUGUCAUUUAGCAUUGGAGAGUUGUCACACACAGGAACUGGAGUGCUCCAGGCUUAUACACGGUCUCGCCCAGAUUCAGCCUCAGAUGCUCGCUCCUGCACUCAGCUCUCUUGACCCCUGCCUCACCUCUUUCUGCAGCAGGGGUUGCAUGGUGAUGAUGGCGUCCUGCGCGAGACGUGAAUUGUAGUGAGUGAUCCCUGCUGAGAAAGUCACUAAUGUGUUGAAAGUCUUUGUUGCCCAGGAUCAUCCUUUUCAUUCUCUCUCCCAUGACAAAGUGGGGUUCUGGUGAUUGUGGAAGAGGAGGAGUUCAACUUGUAUGCGUUUGAGAGUCUGUGGAUUCAUCUCCAGAAAAGAGAGACCAGUGGGUCCGUGUGCGCUCGUGACUGUGGGCCGCGUUGGCGGAACCGAGAGGGAGCAACCAGCCAGCACUUCCCGAGCCCAGAGCCGCUGGUUUCCUAUGUCCUGGCUGCCUGACUUGAGUGGACAGGCUCAUGUUCUGCUGCUUUCCUUCAAGGUCAGUGAACUAGGGGCAGUUUGGUUCCCACGCUCUGUGCGCAUGGAAGCCUUUCUGUGCGACUCCCGUGCUGAGGAGAGAAGCCUCACCGCUGAGCCAAGGUUUGGGAUGGCAUCCGGAGCGCAGACUCCUGAGUUCAGGGACCCGUCUGAUCGCCUUUUGGGGAGCAGAUGCCUCAAUGUGGCAUCAGACAGGCAUGCCUGGGGACGCUGGUAACAAGGAGGAAGGACUUGUUUUCCUGCUGCUGUCCCCCUGAUCACGGGGCAGGGGGGCCUCUGUUCCUUGGAAAAAGUGUUUAUUCCACACUUGGCACUUUGUUCCUUCUGAACCAACAGAGGGUGCCAGGCCCAGUGUUCCUGGCGUCUCUCUGUGUCCCUGGGCCUGAGACUAGGGCAGUCUUACGGAAGGACAUUGCAGUGGCCGCCUAGCGCCCUCCUGAGGUUCCCACAGCUCUUGGGAAGUACAGACCUCAGCAUAGAGCGCAGUAAGUCUACGUUCCUCGUUAGUUGUCUGCGUG
rnacentral:lncRNA from 1 species